GUAGGGAAUAUUGGGCAAUGGAUGCAAGUCUGACCCAGCCAUCCCGCGUGCCGGAAGAAGGCCCUCAGGGUUGUAAACGGCUUUUGACGGUGAAGAAUCGACAGGAUGCGUCCUGUUUUUACGGUAGCCGUUGAAUAAGCACCGGCUAACUCCGUGCCAGCAGCCGCGGUAAUACGGAGGGUGCGAGCGUUGUUCGGAUUUAUUGGGUUUAAAGGGUGCGUAGGCUGGAAGGUCAGUCAGCGGUGAAAAGCUGUCGCUUAACGAUAGUCUUGCCGCAGAUACUUCCUUUCUUGGAUGAGGAGGAGGCCACUGGAACGGAUGGUGUAGCGGUGAAAUGCAUAGAUAUCAUCCAGAACACCGAUUGCGAAGGCAGGUGGCUGUACCUUAAUCGACGCUGAUUCACGAAAGCAUGGGGAGCAAACAGGAUUAGAGACCCGGGUAGUCC
rnacentral:rRNA from 1 species